rnacentral:rRNA from 1 species
UGACGAGUGGCGGACGGGUGAGUAAUGUCUGGGAAACUGCCUGAUGGAGGGGGAUAACUACUGGAAACGGUGGCUAAUACCGCAUAACGUCGCAAGACCAAAGAGGGGGACCUUCGGGCCUCUUGCCAUCAGAUGUGCCCAGAUGGGAUUAGCUUGUUGGUGAGGUAACGGCUCACCAAGGCGACGAUCCCUAGCUGGUCUGAGAGGAUGACCAGCCACACUGGAACUGAGACACGGUCCAGACUCCUACGGGAGGCAGCAGUGGGGAAUAUUGCACAAUGGGCGCAAGCCUGAUGCAGCCAUGCCGCGUGUAUGAAGAAGGCCUUCGGGUUGUAAAGUACUUUCAGCGGGGAGGAAGGUGUUGUGGUUAAUAACCGCAGCAAUUGACGUUACCCGCAGAAGAAGCACCGGCUAACUCCGUGCCAGCAGCCGCGGUAAUACGGAGGGUGCAAGCGUUAAUCGGAAUUACUGGGCGUAAAGCGCACGCAGGCGGUCUGUCAAGUCGGAUGUGAAAUCCCCGGGCUCAACCUGGGAACUGCAUUCGAAACUGGCAGGCUUGAGUCUUGUAGAGGGGGGUAGAAUUCCAGGUGUAGCGGUGAAAUGCGUAGAGAUCUGGAGGAAUACCGGUGGCGAAGGCGGCCCCCUGGACAAAGACUGACGCUCAGGUGCGAAAGCGUGGGGAGCAAACAGGAUUAGAUACCCUGGUAGUCCACGCCGUAAACGAUGUCUACUUGGAGGUUGUGCCCUUGAGGCGUGGCUUCCGGAGCUAACGCGUUAAGUAGACCGCCUGGGGAGUACGGCCGCAAGGUUAAAACUCAAAUGAAUUGACGGGGGCCCGCACAAGCGGUGGAGCAUGUGGUUUAAUUCGAUGCAACGCGAAGAACCUUACCUGGUCUUGACAUCCACGGAAGUUUUCAGAGAUGAGAAUGUGCCUUCGGGAACCGUGAGACAGGUGCUGCAUGGCUGUCGUCAGCUCGUGUUGUGAAAUGUUGGGUUAAGUCCCGCAACGAGCGCAACCCUUAUCCUUUGUUGCCAGCGGUUCGGCCGGGAACUCAAAGGAGACUGCCAGUGAUAAACUGGAGGAAGGUGGGGAUGACGUCAAGUCAUCAUGGCCCUUACGACCAGGGCUACACACGUGCUACAAUGGCGCAUACAAAGAGAAGCGACCUCGCGAGAGCAAGCGGACCUCAUAAAGUGCGUCGUAGUCCGGAUUGGAGUCUGCAACUCGACUCCAUGAAGUCGGAAUCGCUAGUAAUCGUGGAUCAGAAUGCCACGGUGAAUACGUUCCCGGGCCUUGUACACACCGCCCGUCACACCAUGGGAGUGGGUUGCAAAAGAAGUAGGUAGCUUAACCUUCGGGAGGGCGCUUACCACUUUGUGAUUCAUGACUGGGGUGAAGUCGUAACAAGGUAACCGUAGGGGAACCUGCGGUUGGAUCACCUCCUUACCU